rnacentral:rRNA from 1 species
ACAUAGCUCCCAGGUGAGCCAGGGGCUUGCAGUAUUGGGGGUGAGGCCUGCCCAAUGGUUGUACCUGAAUUUAGACAGUAAAAGGAGCUGUUUAAUUAAGGGCAAUUGAAUGGCCGCGGUAACUCUGACCGUGAUAAUGUAGCGCAAUCAAUAGUCAAUUAAUUGUUGACAAGUAUGAAUGGCUCAACGAAUGUUCUUUCUGUCUUCAAGAUUUAAACCAGUGAAAUUGAAAUGGUGGCGCAGAUGCUACCUACAAAUUGUAAGACGAGAAGACCCCGUUGAGCUUUACUGGGGGCUUGGAUUGUUUUUUUUUUAACACUAAGAUGUGGUUACACCCUUAAAGUUUUCUAAAACCCAUGGGGCCAUGCCCCGGGGAGUUUAAGUUGGACAGUUUGAUUGGGGCGAUGGCCUUCUAAAGAGUAACGAAGGUGGACAAAGGUGGGGAGAUAAUAUAAUGAAAGGCCUGACAGUAAGGGGGAUUGACAAGCUGACACAGGGUGAAAUAUGCUGUGGGUUAUAGUGACCCGUUAGUUAAGAGUGGAUUUGCUGGCGAGUAACGGAUAAAAGUUACCAAGGGGAUAACAGCGUAAUUUGCGUUUGAGAGUUCUUAUUGAUGACGGAGUU